rnacentral:rRNA from 1 species
UACAGAGGAUGCAAGCGUUAUCCGGAAUGAUUGGGCGUAAAGCGUCUGUAGGUGGCUUUUUAAGUCCGCCGUCAAAUCCCAGGGCUCAACUCUGGACAGGCGGUGGAAACUACCAAGCUGGAGUACGGUAGGGGCAGAGGGAAUUUCCGGUGGAGCGGUGAAAUGCGUAGAGAUCGGAAAGAACACCAACGGCGAAAGCAGCUCGCUGGGACGUUACUGACACUGAGGCGCGAAAGCGUGGGGAGCGAACAGG